rnacentral:rRNA from 1 species
UACGUAGGGUGCAAGCGUUGUCCGGAAUUAUUGGGCGUAAAGAGCUCGUAGGCGGUUUGUUGCGUCGGCUGUGAAAUCCCGAGGCUCAACCUCGGGUCUGCAGUCGAUACGGGCAGGCUAGAGUUCGGCAGGGGAGACUGGAAUUCCUGGUGUAGCGGUGAAAUGCGCAGAUAUCAGGAGGAACACCGGUGGCGAAGGCGGGUCUCUGGGCCAUAACUGACGCUGAGGAGCGAAAGCGUGGGGAGCGAACAGG